AAACUUUACAAUGCGGGCAACCGUGAUAAGGAAACCCCGAGUGCUAGUAUAGACUAGCUGUCCAUCAGUGUAAAGAACUGGUGAAGAAAGGGCCGGGCAAGACCGGUGCCAGCCGCCGCGGUAAUACCGGCGGCUCGAGUGGUGGCCGCUAUUACUGGGCUUAAAGGGUCCGUAGCUGGGUACACAAGUCCCUUGAGAAAUCCGCUGGCUUAACUAGCGGGCGUUCAGGGGAAACUGUGUUGUCUAGGGACCGGGAGAGGUAAGAGGUACUGCCGGGGUAGGAGUGAAAUCCUGUAAUCCCGGUGGGACCACCUGUGGCGAAGGCGUCUUACCAGAACGGCUCCGACAGUGAGGGACGAAAGCUGGGGGAGCAAACCGG
rnacentral:rRNA from 1 species